rnacentral:rRNA from 1 species
CGUGUAGCAAUACACGAGUGGCGCACGGGUGAGUAACGCGUGGAUAUCUGCCUUUUGGUUCGGAAUAACCCCGGGAAACUGGGGCUAAUACCGGAUGGUUCCUUCGGGAUAAAGAUUUAUCGCCAAAAGAUGAGUCCGCGUACGAUUAGCUAGUUGGUGAGGUAAUGGCUCACCAAGGCGACGAUCGUUAGCUGGUCUGAGAGGACGAUCAGCCACACUGGGACUGAGACACGGCCCAGACUCCUACGGGAGGCAGCAGUGGGGAAUAUUGGACAAUGGGGGCAACCCUGAUCCAGCCAUGCCGCGUGAGUGAUGAAGGCCUUCGGGUUGUAAAGCUCUUUUGGCGGGGACGAUGAUGACGGUACCCGCAGAAUAAGCCCCGGCUAACUUCGUGCCAGCAGCCGCGGUAAGACGAAGGGGGCUAGCGUUGUUCGGAAAUUACUGGGCGUAAAGCGAGUGUAGGUGGUUGCCGUAGUCAGGUGUGAAAGCCUUGAGCUCAACUCAAGAAAUGCACUUGAUACUGGGCGACUAGAGGACCGGAGAGGAUAGUGGAAUUCCCAGUGUAGUGGUGAAAUACGUAGAGAUUGGGAAGAACACCAGUGGCGAAGGCGGCUAUCUGGACGGUUCUGA